rnacentral:rRNA from 1 species
GACGAACGCUGGCGGCGUGCUUAACACAUGCAAGUCGAACGAAGUGGCGAACGGGUGAGUAAUACGUGGGUAACCUGCCCUCCUUUUUGGGAUAAGCCUUGGAAACGGGGUCUAAUACCGAAUAAAGGGGGAUGGGCUCGCGGCCUAUCAGCUUGUUGGUGGGGUGAUGGCCUACCAAGGCGGUGACGGGUAGCCGGCCUGAGAGGGUGACCGGCCACAUUGGGACUGAGAUACGGCCCAGACUCCUACGGGAGGCAGCAGUGGGGGAUAUUGCACAAUGGGCGAAAGCCUGAACCAGCCAAGUAGCGUGCAGGAUGACGGCCUAUGGGUUGUAAACUGCUUAUCGGGAUAACCAGGUACCGCAUGAAUAAGGACCGGCUAACUACGUGCCAGCAGCCGCGGUAAUUC